rnacentral:rRNA from 1 species
ACGCGUCAAGUAGAGCCUGAGCACUCGCUUAAUUUAAGCAUAUUAGUAAGCGAAGGAAAAGAAACUAACAAGGAUUUCCUUAGUAACGGCCGAGUGAAAAA